AAGUCGUAACAAGGUUUCCGUAGGUGAACCUGCGGAAGGAUCAUUAUUGAAUGUUAAGAAGUUGUAGCUGACCUGUUAAAGGGUAUGUGCUCGCUUCUUUCAAUCUCUUACCACCUGUGCACCUUUUGUAGUCUUGGAUACACUUCAAAAUCUUUAUACUCUUUACAGGGUGUUUAAGACUUUUGGUUUGGGAAGCUGUUGGUUACGCAAGUGAUCAUCUCUUUCUGUAUUUUCAAGACUAUGUUUUUACAUACCCCACUAUAAUAACUAAAGAAUGUUUUACUAGUCUUGCCGUUAAAAAGCAGACUUAUUUUAAAAUACAAUUUUCAACAACGGAUCUCUUGGCUCUC
rnacentral:misc_RNA from 1 species